rnacentral:rRNA from 1 species
UGGGGAAUUUUGGACAAUGGGGGAAACCCUGAUCCAGCCAUCCCGCGUGUGCGAUGAAGGCCUUCGGGUUGUAAAGCACUUUUGGCAGGAAAGAAACGUCGCGGGUUAAUACCCCGCGGAACUGACGGUACCUGCAGAAUAAGCACCGGCUAACUACGUGCCAGCAGCCGCGGUAAUACGUAGGGUGCAAGCGUUAAUCGGAAUUACUGGGCGUAAAGCGUGCGCAGGCGGUUCGGAAAGAAAGAUGUGAAAUCCCAGAGCUUAACUUUGGAACUGCAUUUUUAACUACCGGGCUAGAGUGUGUCAGAGGGAGGUGGAAUUCCGCGUGUAGCAGUGAAAUGCGUAGAUAUGCGGAGGAACACCGAUGGCGAAGGCAGCCUCCUGGGAUAACACUGACGCUCAUGCACGAAAGCGUGGGGAGCAAACAGGAUUAGAUACCCUGGUAGUCCACGCCCUAAACGAUGUCAACUAGCUGUUGGGGUCUUCGGACCUUGGUAGCGCAGCUAACGCGUGAAGUUGACCGCCUGGGGAGUACGGUCGCAAGA